rnacentral:rRNA from 1 species
UUGAAAAACUUUUUUAAAAAAGUGGUUGACUUGAGUGAGUAAACUGCGUAGUAUAGUACGAGUUGUCAGUCAUAAAAACAGUUUAAACCGCACAGCGAUUUAAAAAAAGAUGUUGACAACGAGUUGCCAAUUUGAUAUUCUUAGUAAGUUGUCGCUUGGCGACAAAGUGGUCCUUUGAAAACUGAACAAAGUUUCGUUUAAAUGUGCAGGGUCCUUGGUACUUCGGUACCGAGGCAAGAAGUAACAUUUGCGAAGUCAAUUCGCUAGAACAACAAAUCGAGCUAUUCGAACAGCUCAUAUUUAUAUGAGAGUUUGAUCCUGGCUCAGGAUGAACGCUGGCGGCGUGCCUAAUACAUGCAAGUCGAACGAGUUCUCGUUGAUGAUCGGUGCUUGCACCGAGAUUCAACAUGGAACGAGUGGCGGACGGGUGAGUAACACGUGGGUAACCUGCCCUUAAGUGGGGGAUAACAUUUGGAAACAGAUGCUAAUACCGCAUAGAUCCAAGAACCGCAUGGUUCUUGGCUGAAAGAUGGCGUAAGCUAUCGCUUUUGGAUGGACCCGCGGCGUAUUAGCUAGUU